CCUACGGGUGGCAGCAGUGAGGAAUAUUGGUCAAUGGUCGGGAGACUGAACCAGCCAAGCCGCGUGAGGGAGGAAGGUACAGAGUAUCGUAAACCUCUGUUGUCAGGGAACAAAGGCGGGGACGUGUCCCCGGAUGAGUGUACCUGAAGAAAAAGCAUCGGCUAACUCCGUGCCAGCAGCCGCGGUAAUACGGAGGAAGCGAGCGUUAUCCGGAUUUAUUGGGUUUAAAGGGUGCGGAGGCGGUCUGUUAAGUCAGCGGUCAAAGCCCGGGGCUCAACCCCGGGACGGCGGUUGAACCGGGCAGUCUAGAGUUGGAGAGAGGUAUGCGGAAGGCGCGGUGUAGCGGUGAAAUGCGUAGAUAUCGCGCAGAACUCCGAUUGCGAAGGCAGCAUGCCGGCUCCAAACUGACGCUGAGGCACGAAAGCGUGGGUAUCGAACAGGAUUAGAUACCCGUGUAGUC
rnacentral:rRNA from 1 species